rnacentral:lncRNA from 1 species
AUUUCUGGGAACGGCUCCCUGCCUCUAACCACCUCCAUCCACAUUGUUAGGUGGAUAGCAUGGUCUUAGUAAAUAUAACAGAUGAUUGGUCCAAGCUGAAGCAGCUGACCCAAUGUGGGCCAAUCAGAACCCUGUCCUAGGAUUUUAGAAAUGGAACUGUGGUCUCUCGCAGGAUGGUGUUGGAGACCCUUUCAGCACUACAGUGGGCUUUUUGUGUGGGGUUUAUCGGGCCCCAUCAGCCACACCUUGUCUGAGCAGGAAUAAGCCACAAGGAGUGGAGGGGAAUAG